GGUUUCUCGGAUUGGAAUUUUGAUAAAUCAUUGUUCGAUCGAUCUUCAAGAUGUGAAGGAUAUUAGAAAAUCUUUCGGCAAUCAAUCUUAGGGCUCGUCCCAAAAUGUGCAUAAUUUAGCGUCUUAGAGCCUACCUAAAAUGGCGGCUGCUAAUCUUUUCCCUUCAAUUUAACAUAACUUGGUGAGUUUCCACACUUUUUAAAUAUAUAAAGAAGGAAAGGCGGAGGUAGUGUGUCCUUUCGCAAAUGGGUUAAUAUAGUGUUUUAUGUGGAUUUUCCAGCAAAACCUAAUGUAACGUCAACCACCUCUUCGUCUUGCCACGCGGUCUGCAGGCGCCGUCGUUGGUAUAGGAAAUAAUGGACCCGGCAUAAACCCCGGUAAGUCAUUUAAUCGCUUCAUUGCCGUAAUUUAAAUCGCGCUGUGCCUCAGUUUAAAAUAUAAUUUUUCUAUAAAACUAAACGUGUUAAAACAUAAUUUUUUUAACCUAGAACAUUUUCUUUGUUCUUAGGGUUUUUUCCUGGACCCUGGUUUUUCCUGGACCCUGGUUCUCUAAGGCUGUGCCAUCCGGUGGCAGCGUUCUUCUUGGCAGUGUCCGUGAAGUUAAGACUUUUAUGAUAUACCUUUAGUUAAAUAUGGACCUUUACGCUGAACAGGUAACCUGUAAUCCCUGUGAGCAAUUGCUUACUGCUAAACAUCCCCGGAGGUUGGGGCAUAACUUUUACUUUAGACAGUGUUAUGUUAGGAAGACAAAUUUUGAUAUUGUUGUCCGUAGACACAGAGAUGUCUAUGAUGUAUUUAGUGUAAAUUUCAAGAAAUAGUGGUGUCACUAAGAAGUAUUUAGUAUUACUUAUUUACUAAUAAAUAACUCGUGUUGACCGUAGCGGGUCAUAUAUAUUUAAGGAAUAAAGGUGUGUAUUAAAUAAA